rnacentral:tRNA from 1 species
AGUAAGGUGGCUGAAAUAUUAGGCGUUAAAUUGUAAUUUUAAUUAUAGGUGUUAAUUCUUCUUACUA